AAUGGGCGCAAGCCUGAUGCAGCCAUGCCGCGUGUAUGAAGAAGGCCUUCGGGUUGUAAAGUACUUUCAGCGGGGAGGAAGGGAGUAAAGUUAAUACCUUUGCUCAUUGACGUUACCCGCAGAAGAAGCACCGGCUAACUCCGUGCCAGCAGCCGCGGUAAUACGGAGGGUGCAAGCGUUAAUCGGUAUUACUGGGCGUAAAGCGCACGCAGGCGGUCUGUCAAGUCGGAUGUGAAAUCCCCGGGCUCAACCUGGGAACNGCAUUCGAAUCUGGCAGGCUAGAGUCUUGUAGAGGGGGGUAGAAUUCCAGGUGUAGCGGUGAAAUGCGUAGAGAUCUGGAGGAAUACCGGUGGCGAAGGCGGCCCCCUGGACAAAGACUGACGCUCAGGUGCGAAAGCGUGGGGAGCAAA
rnacentral:rRNA from 1 species